GGACUCAGAGGACCCCAAGGACAUCCAGGACUGGUGGGUGCUCCUGGACCUAAAGGAGAUCCUGUAAGUUUGUUCUCAUCAAGUACAAUUUGUUCUCUUUUUUUUCUUCUUGAUAGAAUUGGAAC
rnacentral:lncRNA from 15 species